GAUGAACGCUGGCGGCGUGCUUAACACAUGCAAGUCGAACGGAAAGGCCCAAGCUUGCUUGGGUACUCGAGUGGCGAACGGGUGAGUAACACGUGGGUGAUCUGCCCUGCACUUCGGGAUAAGCCUGGGAAACUGGGUCUAAUACCGGAUAGGACGAUGGUUUGGAUGCCAUUGUGGAAAGUUUUUUCGGUGUGGGAUGAGCUCGCGGCCUAUCAGCUUGUUGGUGGGGUAAUGGCCUACCAAGGCGUCGACGGGUAGCCGGCCUGAGAGGGUGUACGGCCACAUUGGGACUGAGAUACGGCCCAGACUCUUACGGGAGGCAGCAGUGGGGAAUAUUGCACAAUGGGCGCAAGCCUGAUGCAGCGACGCCGCGUGGGGGAUGACGGCCUUCGGGUUGUAAACUCCUUUCGCUAGGGACGAAGCGUUUUUGUGACGGUACCUGGAGAAGAAGCACCGGCUAACUACGUG
rnacentral:rRNA from 1 species